rnacentral:pre_miRNA from 1 species
CAUUGGCUGGAGAUCAGAAAGGGCGCUCCCUUUCUGAUCUCCAGCCGAUGGU